rnacentral:rRNA from 1 species
ACUCCUACGGGAGGCAGCAGUGGGGAAUAUUGCACAAUGGGGAAACCCUGAUGCAGCCAUGCCGCGUGUGUGAAGAAGGCCUUCGGUUGUAAAGCACUUUCAGUAGGGAGGAAGGUAGUGUAGUUAACACCUGCACUAUUUGACGUUACCUACAGAAGAAGCACCGGCUAACUCCGUGCCAGCAGCCGCGGUAAUACGGAGGGGUGCGAGCGUUAAUCGGAAUUACUGGGCGUAAAGCGCAUGCAGGCGGCCUGUUAAGUCAGAUGUGAAAGCCCGGGGGCUUAACCUCGGAAUUGCAUUUGAAACUGGCAGGCUAGAGUCUUGUAGAGGGGGUAGAAUUUCAGGUGUAGCGGUGAAAUGCGUAGAGAUCUGAAGGAAUACCAGUGGCGAAGGCGGCCCCCUGGACAAAGACUGACGCUCAGAUGCGAAAGCGUGGGGAGCGAAACAGGAUU